AAGUCGUAACAAGGUUUCCGUAGGUGAACCUGCGGAAGGAUCAUUAUCGAGUUUUGACUGGGUUGUAGCUGGCCUCCCGAGGCAUGUGCACGCCCUGCUCAUCCACUCUACACCUGUGCACUUACUGUGGGCUUGAGACGUCGUGAAGUGGGCUCUUUACGGAGCUUGUGGAGCGUGUCUGUGCCUGCGUUUACCACAAACUCUAUAAAGUAUUAGAAUGUGUAUUGCGAUGUAACGCAUCUAUGUACAACUUUCAGCAACGGAUCUCUUGGCUCUC
rnacentral:misc_RNA from 1 species